GGGAAUCUUACCGGGUCCGGACACACUGAGGAUUGACAGGUAUUAUAUAAUUGCUCUUCGGAGCUUUUAUUGUUAAAUAUGCUAGUCCUUUCAUGAUUAUGUGAUAGGUGGUGCAUGGCCGUUCUUAGUUCGUGGAGUGAUCUGUCUGCUUAAUUGCGUUUCACUAUAAGGAUCUAUAUUCUUUACAGUGUGCAGUGCAUUGACCCCUUCUUCGGAAGCGUGUGUCUUUACGCUCACACUUCAUUAGGUCCUGAAAGCAACGAACGUGACCGCAACCUCUUGUUGCCUCUGUGCUCCUACACGCUCAAUGCGCUAAACACUGGUUUUCUUCGGAAGCUUAGUGCGUUGGUUGAGGCUUUCUUAAACUAGAGGGACCGCUGUCAACUUCUUAAACCAGAGGAAGGUUGCGGCAAUAACAGGUCUGUGAUGCCCUUAGAUGUUCCGGGCUGCACACGUGCUACAAUGAUUGUUGCAGUGAGCAUCUCAAUUCUUUACCACACCGCACACGUGAGUCUUUAACGUUUUGUUAAUGCACUUUACGCAGCGGUAACGCCUGCUUCGAGAGCAAGUGGGUAAUCAAUUAAAGUAACGAUUUCCCAAGUUAGCACACUUAUAUAC
rnacentral:rRNA from 1 species